UGGGUCAGCGACUUAUAUUCUGUAGCAAGGUUAACCGAAUAGGGGAGCCGGAGGGAAACCGAGUCUUAAUUGGGCGUUAAGUUGCAGGGUAUAGACCCGAAACCCGGUGAUCUAGCCAUGGGCAGGUUGAAGGUUGGGUAACACUAACUGGAGGACCGAACCGACUAAUGUUGAAAAAUUAGCGGAUGACCUGUGGCUGGGGGUGAAAGGCCAAUCAAACCGGGAGAUAGCUGGUUCUCCCCGAAAGCUAUUUAGGUAGCGCCUCGUGAAUUCAUCUCCGGGGGUAGAGCACUGUUUCGGCUAGGGGGCCAUCCCGGCUUACCAACCCGAUGCAAACUGCGAAUACCGGAGAAUGUUAUCACGGGAGACACACGGCGGGUGCUAACGUCCGUCGUGAAGAGGGAAACAACCCAGACCGCCAGCUAAGGUCCCAAAGUCAUGGUUAAGUGGGAAACGAUGUGGGAAGGCCCAGACAGCCAGGAUGUUGGCUUAGAAGCAGCCAUCAUUUAAAGAAAGCGUAAUAGCUCACUGGUCGAGUCGGCCUGCGCGGAAGAUGUAACGGGGCUAAACCAUGCACCGAAGCUGCGGCAGCGACGCUGAUGCGU
rnacentral:rRNA from 1 species